AUGAACGCUGGCGGCGUGCUUAACACAUGCAAGUCGAACGAUGAAGCCCAGCUUGCUGGGUGGAUUAGUGGCGAACGGGUGAGUAACACGUGAGUAACCUGCCCCUGACUCUGGGAUAAGCCCGGGAAACUGGGUCUAAUACUGGAUAUGACCUGUCACCGCAUGGUGGUGGGUGGAAAGAUUUUUUGGUUGGGGAUGGACUCGCGGCCUAUCAGCUUGUUGGUGAGGUAGUGGCUCACCAAGGCGACGACGGGUAGCCGGCCUGAGAGGGUGACCGGCCACACUGGGACUGAGACACGGCCCAGACUCCUACGGGAGGCAGCAGUGGGGAAUAUUGCACAAUGGGCGCAAGCCUGAUGCAGCGACGCCGCGUGAGGGAUGACGGCCUUCGGGUUGUAAACCUCUUUCAGUAGGGAAGAAGCCUUUGGGUGACGGUACCUGCAGAAGAAGCGCCGGCUAACUACGUGCCAGCAGCCGCGGUAAUACGUAGGGCGCAAGCGUUAUCCGGAUUUAUUGGGCGUAAAGAGCUCGUAGGCGGUUUGUCGCGUCUGCCGUGAAAGUCCGGGGCUUAACUCCGGAUCUGCGGUGGGUACGGGCAGACUAGAGUGCAGUAGGGGAGACUGGAAUUCCUGGUGUAGCGGUGAAAUGCGCAGAUAUCAGGAGGAACACCGAUGGCGAAGGCAGGUCUCUGGGCUGUAACUGACGCUGAGGAGCGAAAGCAUGGGGAGCGAACAGGAUUAGAUACCCUGGUAGUCCAUGCCGUAAACGUUGGGCACUAGGUGUGGGGGACAUUCCACGUUUUCCGCGCCGUAGCUAACGCAUUAAGUGCCCCGCCUGGGGAGUACGGCCGCAAGGCUAAAACUCAAAGGAAUUGACGGGGGCCCGCACAAGCGGCGGAGCAUGCGGAUUAAUUCGAUGCAACGCGAAGAACCUUACCAAGGCUUGACAUGGACUGGAUCGCUGCAGAGAUGUGGUUUCCCUUCGGGGCUGGUUCACAGGUGGUGCAUGGUUGUCGUCAGCUCGUGUCGUGAGAUGUUGGGUUAAGUCCCGCAACGAGCGCAACCCUCGUUCCAUGUUGCCAGCGGGUUAUGCCGGGGACUCAUGGGAGACUGCCGGGGUCAACUCGGAGGAAGGUGAGGACGACGUCAAAUCAUCAUGCCCCUUAUGUCUUGGGCUUCACGCAUGCUACAAUGGCCGGUACAAAGGGUUGCGAUACUGUGAGGUGGAGCUAAUCCCAAAAAGCCGGUCUCAGUUCGGAUUGGGGUCUGCAACUCGACCCCAUGAAGUCGGAGUCGCUAGUAAUCGCAGAUCAGCAACGCUGCGGUGAAUACGUUCCCGGGCCUUGUACACACCGC
rnacentral:rRNA from 1 species